rnacentral:lncRNA from 1 species
AAAAUCCACAUGGCCCCAUGGAGGUGUCUCACUUGGGCUGAGGGAACAGGUUGUCAUCCCUGUAUUCUCAUGAGACACAAAGCAGCCCCACAUAAGAUGUCUUAGCUUUAAAGGAGGUACUGCAGGCAUGCUGAGGAUGGCACCCCACACAAGGCAGGAAACUUUGAAGAACUCAGGGUAUCUGGAGUGGAGGUCCAGACUCCUCCAGUGUCAGGGACUUGGCCAGUGCCAGCCAUGGAGGCUGAACUGGUGUCAGCCAUACCCUGCAUCCCUUGCACACCCUUAUUCUGGGCAUGCGUUGUGUCAUUGGAUGAAUAUUUGUGUUCCUCUCCUUCAAAAUCCAUACAUUGAAGCCCCAGUUCCCAUUGUGAUGGCA